rnacentral:rRNA from 1 species
AUUGAACGCUGGCGGCAUGCCUUACACAUGCAAGUCGAACGGUAACGGGCCUUCGGGCGCCGACGAGUGGCGAACGGGUGAGUAAUGCAUCGGAACGUACCUUUCAGUGGGGGAUAACGUAGCGAAAGUUACGCUAAUACCGCAUAUUCUGUGAGCAGGAUAGCAGGGGAUCGCAAGACCUUGCGCUGAUUGAGCGGGCGAUGUCAGAUUAGCUAGUUGGUGAGGUAAAGGCUCACCAAGGCGACGAUCUGUAGCGGGUCUGAGAGGAUGAGCCGCCACACUGGAACUGAGACACGGUCCAGACUCCUACGGGAGGCAGCAGUGGGGAAUUUUGGACAAUGGGGGCAACCCUGAUCCAGCCAUGCCGCGUGAGUGAAGAAGGCCUUCGGGUUGUAAAGCUCUUUCGGCCGGGAAGAAAUCGCACGGGCUAAUACCCUGUGUGGAUGACGGUACCGGAAUAAGAAGCACCGGCUAACUACGUGCCAGCCGCCGCAGUAAUAC